UAAUACGGAGGGUGCAAGCGUUAUCCGGAUUCACUGGGUUUAAAGGGUGCGUAGGUGGGUCUGUAAGUCAGUGGUGAAAUCUCCGGGCUUAACCCGGAAACUGCCAUUGAUACUAUAGGUCUUGAAUUAUCUGGAGGUAAGCGGAAUAUGUCAUGUAGCGGUGAAAUGCUUAGAUAUGACAUAGAACACCAAUUGCGAAGGCAGCUUACUACGGAUUGAUUGACACUGAGGCACGAAAGCGUGGGGAUCAAACAGGAUUAGAUACCCUGGUAGUCCACGCCCUAAACGAUGGAUACUCGACAUACGCGAUACACAGUGUGUGUCUGAGCGAAAGCAUUAAGUAUCCCACCUGGGAAGUACGACCGCAAGGUUG
rnacentral:rRNA from 1 species